rnacentral:rRNA from 1 species
AUUGAACGCUGGCGGCAGGCCUAACACAUGCAAGUCGAACGCGUGGCGGACGGGUGAGUAAUGUCUGGGAAACUGCCUGAUGGAGGGGGAUAACUACUGGAAACGGUAGCUAAUACCGCAUACCAUCAGAUGUGCCCAUAUGGGAUUAACUAGUUGGUGGGGUAACGGCUCACCAAGGCGACGAUCCCUAGCUGGUAUGAAAGGAUGACCAGCCACACUGGAACUGAGAGACGUUCCAGAAGCCCACGGAAGGCAGGAGUGGGGAACAGUGCAAAAUGGGCGAAAGCCUGAUGCAGCCAUGCAGCGUGGAUGAAGAAGGCCUUCGGGUUGUAAAGUACUUUCAGCGGGGAGGCGUUACCCGCAGAAGAAGCACCGGCAAACUCCGUGCCAGCAGCCGCGGUAAUUC